UCGUUGUCAUCCCUCUCGGCCUGCUCUGGGUCAUCGCCUUCUGCAGGCGAAGGUGGAGUACCCAACCACCGAGAGGCCUGUCCACUCUGGUACAGCAGCUUGCAAGUCUGGGCCGCGUCCGAUGCGUUUCCUGCGGACAGAAAGAAGCUUCCUCAGGCCUUUUCCUAUGUUCGUAGCGAUCCUUUUCGACCUCCGUAAUGGUUGACUCAGCAUUCCAUCUGGACCAUGCUUCGUUCCAUGUUUCCUGAUUGGUCCUUUGGAGGAACCUUGCUCGCUUUUCUGUUUCUUCUGAAACAAACACAUAAACUUGAUUCUUUUCUGUUUCCUUCUUUUGAGUGUAACCAUAAGAAGAUAUGAAGAUAAAGAGCAGCGAUUCUUGAAGGCAACAUUACCUUGGUGGUAGAAGAAGCCGGAGACCGAAGGUCUCUUCCGGUCGCGUCACCCACCCGCAACACCGCUCGGGCUCUGAUCGUCUUGUUUCUAAAGUCCGGCGUCGUGUUAAGUGGCUCGACGGCGACGCCUCUGAGCCAUCCUAGCAGGCCCAGAAGCUGACGCCUGAUCCUGUGUUCCCCGCUGAAGGAUAAACCAUCUUCUCGUUUAGAUCCGACGCCCCGAGGAGCUUCGAUCAGCCCGGAUGAGGAGGAUGCGGAGCAGCUCGUGGUCGGAUCGGGCGGCAGGGGAGAGAGAGGAGCGCCCGCCGCGGAUGAUCAUGCGAGUAGGGCCGAGAGCGACCCCAUCUCGACGAAGCGAUGAGCCGCCCAUGUGUAACUCCGACGACG
rnacentral:lncRNA from 1 species